rnacentral:rRNA from 1 species
AGAGCGAACGCUGGCGGCAGGCCUAACACAUGCAAGUCGAGCGCCCGUAGCAAUACGGGAGCGGCAGACGGGAUAGUAACACGUGGGAACGCGCCCUUCGGUUCGGAAUAACUCAGGGAAACUUGAGCUAAUACCGAAUACGCCCUUACGGGGAAAGAUUUAUUGCCGAAGGAACGGCCCGCGUCCGAUUAGCUAGUUGGUGAGGUAAUGGCUCACCAAGGCUACGAUCGGUAGCUGGUCUGAGAGGAUGACCAGCAUCACUGGGACUGAGACACGGCCCAGACUCCUACGGGAGGCAGCAGUGGGGAAUAUUGGACAAUGGGCGCAAGCCUGAUCCAGCCAUGCCGCGUGGAUGAUGAAGGCCUUAGGGUUGUAAAGUCCUUUUAACGGGGAAGAUAAGUGACGGUACCCGUAGAAUAAGCCCGGCUAACUUCGUGCCAGCAGCCGC